rnacentral:rRNA from 1 species
AACGAACGCUGGCGGCAUGCCUAACACAUGCAAGUCGAACGAGACCUUCGGGUCUAGUGGUGCACGGGUGCGUAACGCGUGGGAAUCUGCCCUUGGGUUCGGAAUAACAGUUAGAAAUGACUGCUAAUACCGGAUGAUGUCUUCGGACCAAAGAUUUAUCGCCCAGGGAUGAGCCCGCGUAGGAUUAGCUAGUUGGUGAGGUAAAGGCUCACCAAGGCGACGAUCCUUAGCUGGUCUGAGAGGAUGAUCAGCCACACUGGGACUGAGACACGGCCCAGACUCCUACGGGAGGCAGCAGUGGGGAAUAUUGGACAAUGGGCGAAAGCCUGAUCCAGCAAUGCCGCGUGAGUGAUGAAGGCCUUAGGGUUGUAAAGCUCUUUUACCCGGGAUGAUAAUGACAGUACCGGGAGAAUAAGCCCCGGCUAACUCCGUGCCAGCAGCCGCGGUAAU